rnacentral:rRNA from 1 species
UACAGAGGGUGCGAGCGUUGUCCGGAAUCACUGGGCGUAAAGGGCGCGUAGGCGGCGUGUCAAGUCAGGCGUGAAAGCCCCGGGCUCAACCUGGGAACCGCGCUUGAGACUGGCAUGCUCGAGUUCGGGAGAGGAUGGUGGAAUUCCCAGUGUAGAGGUGAAAUUCGUAGAUAUUGGGAAGAACACCGAUGGCGAAGGCAGCCAUCUGGACCGACACUGACGCUGAGGCGCGAAAGCGUGGGGAGCAAACAGGAUUGAGAAACCC